rnacentral:rRNA from 1 species
AACGAACGCUGGCGGCAGGCCUAACACAUGCAAGUCGAGCGCCCUUUCGGGGGAGCGGCGGACGGGUGAGUAACGCGUGGGAAUAUGCCCUUCUCUACGGAAUAGCCUCGGGAAACUGAGAGUAAUACCGUAUACGCCCUGUGGGGGAAAGAUUUAUCGGGGAAGGAUUAGCCCGCGUUGGAUUAGGUAGUUGGUAGGGUAAUGGCCUACCAAGCCGACGAUCCAUAGCUGGUUUGAGAGGAUGAUCAGCCACACUGGGACUGAGACACGGCCCAGACUCCUACGGGAGGCAGCAGUGGGGAAUCUUAGACAAUGGGGGCAACCCUGAUCUAGCCAUGCCGCGUGAGUGAUGAAGGCCUUAGGGUUGUAAAGCUCUUUCAGCUGGGAAGAUAAUGACGGUACCAGCAGAAGAAGCCCCGGCUAACUCCGU